GAUGAACGCUGGCGGCGUGCCUAAUACAUGCAAGUCGAGCGAACGGACGAGAAGCUUGCUUCUCUGAUGUUAGCGGCGGACGGGUGAGUAACACGUGGAUAACCUACCUAUAAGACUGGGAUAACUUCGGGAAACCGGAGCUAAUACCGGAUAAUAUUUUGAACCGCAUGGUUCAAAAGUGAAAGACGGUCUUGCUGUCACUUAUAGAUGGAUCCGCGCUGCAUUAGCUAGUUGGUAAGGUAACGGUUUACCAAGGCAACGAUGCAUAGCCGACCUGAGAGGGUGAUCGGCCACACUGAAACUGAGACACGGUCCAGACUCCUACGGGAGGCAGCAGUAGGGAAUCUUCCGCAAUGGGCGAAAGCCUGACGGAGCAACGCCGCGUGAGUGAUGAAGGUCUUCGGAUCGUAAAACUCUGUUAUUAGGGAAGAACAUAUGUGUAAGUAACUGUGCACAUCUUGACGGUACCUAAUCAGAAAGCCACGGCUAACUACGUG
rnacentral:rRNA from 1 species